ACGAACGCUGGCGGCGUGCUUAACACCUGCAAGUCGAACGGAAAGGCCCUGCUUUUGUGGGGUGCUCGAGUGGCGAACGGGUGAGUAACACGUGAGUAACCUGCCCUUGACUUUGGGAUAACUUCAGGAAACUGGGGCUAAUACCGGAUAGGAGCUCCUGCUGCAUGGUGGGGGUUGGAAAGUUUCGGCGGUUGGGGAUGGACUCGCGGCUUAUCAGCUUGUUGGUGGGGUAGUGGCUUACCAAGGCUUUGACGGGUAGCCGGCCUGAGAGGGUGACCGGCCACAUUGGGACUGAGAUACGGCCCAGACUCCUACGGGAGGCAGCAGUGGGGAAUAUUGCACAAUGGGCGGAAGCCUGAUGCAGCAACGCCGCGUGCGGGAUGACGGCCUUCGGGUUGUAAACCGCUUUAGCCUGUGACGAAGCGUGAGUGACGGUAAUGGGUAAAGAAGCACCGGCUAACUACGUG
rnacentral:rRNA from 1 species